rnacentral:rRNA from 1 species
UAGUGGCGAACGGGUGAGUAACACGUGGGCAAUCUGCCCUUCACUCUGGGACAAGCCCUGGAAACGGGGUCUAAUACCGGAUAACACUCCUGCCUGCAUGGGCGGGGGUUAAAAGCUCCGGCGGUGAAGGAUGAGCCCGCGGCCUAUCAGCUUGUUGGUGGGGUAAUGGCCCACCAAGGCGACGACGGGUAGCCGGCCUGAGAGGGCGACCGGCCACACUGGGACUGAGACACGGCCCAGACUCCUACGGGAGGCAGCAGUGGGGAAUAUUGCACAAUGGGCGAAAGCCUGAUGCAGCGACGCCGCGUGAGGGAUGACGGCCUUCGGGUUGUAAACCUCUUUCAGCAGGGAAGAAGCGAAAGUGACGGUACCUGCAGAAGAAGCGCCGGCUAACUACGUGCCAGCAGCCGCGGUAAUACGUAGGGCGCAAGCGUUGUCCGGAAUUAUUGGGCGUAAAGAGCUCGUAGGCGGCUUGUCACGUCGGAUGUGAAAGCCCGAGGCUUAACCUCGGGUCUGCAUUCGAUACGGGCUAGCUAGAGUGUGGUAGGGGAGAUCGGAAUUCCU